AGUCUUAUAAUCAAAUUUUAUGAUUUCAACCUGCAAACUUGAAAGUGAGGAAACUCUAAGGCUU
rnacentral:tRNA from 1 species